rnacentral:lncRNA from 1 species
AUUUAGCAAAGUGUACUGCGUUUUAGUAGAAAAUAAUAUCCUCAUAUAUUAUGAAUUCUAAGUUUUAAGGUCAAGGGUAUUUGAAUAAUUCACAUUUUCAAAAUAAAAAUUAACAAAAAAAGAUACCUUUAAACCCUUAAUCACCUCUCUGUCAUCGCUCAUCCCUCUCAACCCUUUCUCUUUAAUCUUUCUCACUUCAACCUUCUCUUUGUCUUCCCUAUAGUUGUCCGAAAGAAAAAUCAGAAACACCCCCUAGCCUUAAUCCACCUUCCUCACUUAUCCAAUUUGUUUCUCUCUCAUCUCCAUUCUCUCUCACCCAUGCACAACGACCCGCGAUACUGC